UACGGGGGGGGCGAAGCGUUGUUCGGAAUUACUGGGCGUAAAGGGCCAGUAGGCGGCCAACUAAGUUCGGAUGUGAAAUCCCCAGGCUUAACCUGGGAACUGCAUCCGAUACUGGAUGGCUUGAAUUCGGGAGAGGGAUGCAGAAUUCCAGGGUGUAGCGGUGAAAUGCGUAGAUAUCUGGAGGAAUACCGGUGGCGAAGGCGGCAUCCUGGGACCGACAUUGACGCUGAACGGCGAAAAGCUAGGGGAGACAAACCGGGG
rnacentral:rRNA from 1 species